rnacentral:tRNA from 1 species
ACCCGAAGACGGCCCGGCUCUACACGGACCUGGGUCUGCUCACGGCCGACCCGGAGGUCGGCCAGGACCUGACGCGGCUGUUCAACCAGCUCUCCGGGUAC